rnacentral:rRNA from 1 species
AAUGAACGUUGGCGGCGUGGAUUAGGCAUGCAAAUCGAGCGAGAACCGGAGCAAUCCGGGGAAAGCGGCAAACGGGGUAGUAAUGCAUCGGUACGUGCCCUCAGGACGGGGAUAGCCAGGGGAAACCCUGAUUAAUACCCGAUAAUCUCGAGAGAGCAAAGGUUUACUGCCGGAGGAGCGGCCGAUGUGGCAUCAGGUAGUUGGCGGGGUAACGGCCCACCAAGCCUUAGACGCCUAGGGGGCGUGAGAGCGCGACCCCCACCACUGGGACUGAGAUACUGCCCAGACACCUACGGGUGGCUGCAGUCGAGAAUCUUCCGCAAUGGGCGAAAGCCUGACGGAGCGACGCCGCGUGCGGGAUGAAGGCCCUUGGGUUGUAAACCGCUGUCAGGGGGAUGAAAGCGCAAGCUUGACAGAGCCCCAGAGGAAGCACGGGCUAAGUUCGUGUCAGCAGCCGCGGUAAGACGAACUGUGCGAACGUUAUUCGGAAUCACUGGGCUUACAGGGU